CAAUCACUUGUCUUUUAAAUGAAGACCUGUAUGAAUGGCACGACGAGGGCUCGACUGUCUCCUCUCCCCAGUCAAUGAAAUUGAUUUUCCCGUGCAGAAGCGGGAGUACCCCCAUAAGACGAGAAGACCCUAUGGAGCUUUAGACACUAGGAAGCCCACAUUAACAAACCUGCCCCACCAGAAAGAACUCAGUGGCCCCUCUCCUAUUUGUCUUUGGUUGGGGCGACCGCGGAGGAAAAGACAGCCUCCAUGAGGACUAAGAGCACUGCUCUUACAGCCAAGACCCACUGCUCUAAGCAACAGAACUUCUGACCACAAUGAUCCGGCCUGCGCCGAUCAACGGACCGAGUUACCCUAGGGAUAACAGCGCAAUCCUCUCCCAGAGUCCC
rnacentral:rRNA from 1 species